CUCAGUUGUGUCACAGUGUGGUCCGAGAACGGUCGAAAUGGAGGCGUUCUAUCUAUUUUGUGCAAUGUGCUUGAUUUUCUCGAUCGAAACACGAUCGAUACCGAACGAGAUCCGAUCGAUCGAAAGUGAUGUCACCAGUGAAAGUAGCUCGAGAACAAUGGUCCAAAAACCUUUAAGUUAUAUUGUAAAUGACUUGAAGGCAUAUCGAAGGAGUAAACGGCAGGUGUUCAAGGCAGAUCAUUGUCGUGCGGGGUCGUGUCCUAGAUGGUUGGGGGGGUCGAUUGUUUGUGGUCCGUGCACAGGGUAAUCAAGAAGCUGGUUCAUUAAAAGGUCCCAUUUGGUGUAAAAGACGGCGAUGCUGAAAUAAAUGGACAUCUUCAUUGAAUAGUAUUAUAAAAUUAACAAGUACUUAAUUGCCAAAAGAUGAUGAAAACACCAAAUAACCAUAUUAUCUGAAAGAACUGUCUUUUAUUAAUUUAAGUGAAGGCGUUUUUUGUUACCAUGGAUUUUUAACACGAAUAUUCGUGGUUGUUGCAAUAUUAGUGCCGGAGUAGGUAGGAAUAACUGUAGAUAUUCUUACUUUUUCUCUAGUAAUCUGUAAUCUGAGUUUAUCAGAUUGUGAAAACAAUUGUUUUCCUAGUUAAAUUACUUUAUAUACUUAUAGUUUAUAUUUUUUCUAAUAGCUAAUUGUUUAUAGGAUAAAUUAACAUUUGCUCAAUAUUAUAUUGUUACUUUUGAUUAUUUUGAAUUACGUUGUUUAUUAGAGUUCCAAAAUAUGUAAAGAAAAACAAAAAAGCGAAAUAAAAAUCAAAGAGUGAAGAGCAAUUUUCUAACAAGUGCGUUUUACGUUAUUCUAGCCGUAGCCCUCAUUCGCACGAGAGUUUAAUUAACGGACGUUACGUUCGCUUAAAACACGACGCCUUAUUUUCGAGCAGUGUUGCAUUUUCAAUUUUGGGUGUUGGAAAUCGACCUUCAUUCAUCUUCGUACUAUACGCUACGCCCGCCAACGCUGGGUAUUAACGCAUCGCUAUUUUAACUCUAGUGCGAAUGAGGUUUUAGGCAUCGUAAGAUCGUGGUAAAAUAAGGAAAUCAAUCAUAAGGACACACAGUCAAUAACAAUAUACAAUAUUUAUUGUUAUUGAUUGUGUUAUAUUACAAUAUCUUAUUGACUGCGGUAGGAGCAAUCUUACUUUUUGUCAAUAUUAAUGUAAGGGCGUAAGCCUGUAAAUCAGCAAUGCUGAUUGCAUUUCUAAGAGUAAUAAUUCUAUGCCUAAUGUUUAUUAUGAUAUUCAUGUUGUAUGGAUUAUAAUUUAUGUGAAUAAUAUUAUUAUAGUAGAACAAUAACAUCUUUAUAGUAAAACACGACAAGAAAAAUUUGUAAGUUCUACUAGAUUUUCCUAUGUUUUAUUAACCGACUUCCAAAAAGGAGGAGGUUUUACGUUCGGCUGUAUGUAUGUUUUUUUUCUUUCCGUUUCUGAAAGCACCACAGAAAUUUUGUAAUUUAAGCGGCUUGAAUUAAAACAUCCCUGGCUUGGCACCGCCUUCAAACUGAUCAGAAGGUAGCACAUAGGUAAGAUGUUAUUUUUUGCUUUUUUGUUUUAGUUCAUUUUUGAGUUGGAAGUCGGUUGAAAUUUUUUAUUAAAAUUUUUAUAGUCAAAAAUUUUCGAGAUAAUGUGGGUAGGUAAUUACUUAUACAUUAUACCUGAAAACUAUUAUUUAACCAACCAAACAGAUGGCUUACAAGAAGGAAAGAGGAAAACACUAAUUUUGUUGGACAGUCCUGUAAAAAAUAUUAAAAUAAUUAUUUUGUAAAAUAAUGGAACUCUAAUUUGUUGACAACUUGGAGUUUUGUUUUUUUAAAUCUCUCUCUCUCUCUUUUUAAUUAAUUAUUUACUACAUAAAUAAAUUUAGCCUAAUAUUUUUUCACAAGGAAACGCUUAUAAUAUUAUUGUUAAUUAUAUUAUCUAGUUUAAUUGUUUAUUUUAUAUUUGUUCGAAACUAGGACUUGGUUGUAAAACGAUUUUGAAAUUAAUUUGUAAAACUCAAGACAUUGAUAUUCCUAAUGAAAUAUUUGUUUUAUAAUUUAAAAACGUUUUACAACCAUUUUUAAUUUAAGUAAAAAAUCUGAAGUGAUUUUUUACUUAAGUCAAGACAACUUUUGUUGGUCAAAAGUUCUUUUUGACACAAGCAAUCUAAUUUGAUUGGAUUAAGUUCUAAUUGUAAGAAAAUAAAUAAAACUUAAAUUAAAUUUAUGGGUGCGAUAUUAUUUACAUUCAAAUUAAUUCGAAUGAAUAACCUUGGCGAAAUAUACGAUUGAAUAUUCUUUCGAAAUACAUAUUAUCAUAAAUUAUUGUAUAUAAAAACCUUGCCAUUUUUAUAGACUGCUAUUACUGAUAAUAAUAAUUUAUUAAUCUAUGUUUCUAUAUCUAUUAUUUGAAUGUUGUUAAAUUAUUAUUAUAUUUACUGGAAAUGA